rnacentral:rRNA from 1 species
UACGGAGGGUGCGAGCGUUGUCCGGAAUUACUGGGCGUAAAGAGCUCGUAGGUGGUUUGUCGCGUUGUUCGUGAAAACUCACAGCUUAACUGUGGGCGUGCGGGCGAUACGGGCAGACUGGAGUACUGCAGGGGAGACUGGAAUUCCUGGUGUAGCGGUGGAAUGCGCAGAUAUCAGGAGGAACACCGGUGGCGAAGGCGGGUCUCUGGGCAGUAACUGACGCUGAGGAGCGAAAGCGUGGGGAGCGAACAGG